rnacentral:rRNA from 1 species
GACGAACGCUGGCGGCGUGCUUAACACAUGCAAGUCGAACGUGAUUUUUGUGGAAAUUCUUUCGGGAAUGGAAGUGAAAUGAAAGUGGCGAACGGGUGAGUAACACGUGAGCAACCUACCUUACACAGGGGGAUAGCCGUUGGAAACGACGAUUAAUACCGCAUGAGACCACAGAAUCGCAUGAUAUAGGGGUCAAAGAUUUAUCGGUGUAAUAUGGGCUCGCGUCUGAUUAGCUAGUUGGAAGGGUAACGGCCUACCAAGGCUGCUAUCAGUAGCCUGUCUGAGAGGACGAACGGCCACAUUGGAAUUGACACACCUGCCAAACUCCUACGGGAGGCAGCAAUGGUGAAUAUUUCUUAUGGGGGGAAGCAUGAUGCUGCCCCCCCCUCGUCCCCUAUUACCAUUUCUACCUCCCCGCUCUGUUUGGAGAGAGGACAUGUCCGAAUUGUACGUGAAGCUCUAGAGAAAAAUACUGGACGACGCCGGGGGGGACGUUUGCGCCUCCCACUGUCUCACAAAAAGGGGACAAAAGGGAGCCCUCAUAGAAGUUUAACACUCUUCCCCACGCUGUGGGGGAUCGCGGCGUCUACUGGGAAUUUUCCACCUCCUCCCCCCCAGUGAACGGGGAGAUGGCCGGUUCCUUCUAUAGAGCGAUAAUCUUUUUUUUUUGGGAAAAAACAUAAAAAAUUCUUUAUACGCCUCUCCUACCCAGGGGAGGGCCCCACGCGGGACUCUCAAGAUACUAGAGACAAUAGUUAUGAUGUGGGUGGGGGGAGGCCCGGCCCACAGGGGAGGGGGGGGGAGGGGCUGCUUACCCCCCCCCGCCUAGAGACUUUCCCCCCCGCCUGUUUUUAUAUUUUAUUUAUCUUCUCUCUCCUUCUCCUCCGU